rnacentral:sRNA from 1 species
UUGGUAGCCCUCAAGGCUGAAGUCUUCUAUGUAUUUGCAAAACAGCUACAGCACAGGCAAUAGCAGCACAAAUCUCAUCACAUUGCUUAGAAAACAGUGCUGCACAGAAGGAGCCCGAUUAGCCACCAAAAGGGCUUCAGCUUUUGGGCCAUUCAGCUUGAUCCAAAC